GCCCAGAUAGCUCAGUUGGUAGAGCAACGGACUGAAAAUCCGUGUGUCGGCGGUUCAAAUCCGCCUCUGGGCACCA
rnacentral:tRNA from 3 species